rnacentral:ncRNA from 1 species
AAAAAAGCAAUGAAGAAGAGGAGUAAAGUAUGAUCCCUUUAGAGAGAAAAACCCAUGGCUGCAAGGUUUUUUAGGACCCUUAUACUUGAAGGUAGCUUCCGAGCUGUUAUACUGAAAUCGUAGUAGGUAUAGCCGGGGAACCGUUAUCAUAUUGAGCGUCUAUUUCUAGAUGAAGUGCCUUGGGCAUUGAGUAGGAAAUGGGAAGUGAGGUGGUAUCGCGAUUGACUUCGUCCUUAAU